rnacentral:rRNA from 1 species
GUCCUAGCCUUAACGAUGUAUACUUGAUAUAGUUGGACUCAACCCCGACUGUGUCGAAGCUAACGCGAUAAGUAUACCGCCUGGGGAGUACGCUCGCAAGGGUGAAACUCAAAAGAAUUGACGGGGGCCCGCACAAGCAGUGGAGCAUGUGGUUUAAUUCGAUGCAACGCGAAGAACCUUACCCAGGUUUGAAAUACAGGAGACCGGUCUAGAAAUAGACUUUCCCGCAAGGGCUGCUGUAUAGGUGCUGCAUGGCUGUCGU